UACGUAGGGAGCGAGCGUUGUCCGGAUUCAUUGGGCGUAAAGGGUCCAUAGGCGGCUCAGCAAGUCGGGUGUGAAAUCUCCAGGCUCAACCUGGAGGGGCCACUCGAUACUGCUGUGGCUUGAGUCCAGUAGGGGAGCAUGGAAUUCCCGGUGUAGCGGUGAAAUGCGCAGAUAUCGGGAGGAACACCAGUGGCGAAGGCGGUGCUCUGGGCUGGAACUGACGCUGAUGGACGAAAGCGUGGGUAGCAAACAGG
rnacentral:rRNA from 1 species